AAGAAUGUUGAUUUAUCAGACUGGAGCCUCUGACCCUGGACCUGAUGUCAAAUGGACAUUCUGACUU